UCGGGUGCGAAGUGUUAUUAGGAUGGGGCUCUGUAAAAAUAAUCAUACAGAAUAACAACACCGUCAUGGUGUGUUUCCUGUCUUUGUGUGGCUACAUGCUCCGUUCACUGCCCAGGCUAUGUAUUCCUGCCCGAGGCAGAGGUAUCACGAGAGAAGCCUGUGUAAUCAAAAGCUUUUUGCCAGUCCCUUUACAUUUCAGCACGUAACGAGCACGAGGAUCCGCAGCGAGUUACCACCUAGCAGCCGGGCUGGAAGGCAACCCCGGGACGCGCCAAAGGCAGCCCGCACGUUCCGCACAUCCCCAGCGAGGCGGCCAGCGGACAAUGGCGGGAACCCGGCCGGGCUGCAGCUCCUGGAGUCUUUUUAUUACAUGAGAAUCCCAGCUUUAAUUAACAAGCUUUUCUCUGCAACUCUGAGGGACAGAAACUUUUAAGAAACUGAAACGAUAAAGACUCAGAAUCAGCAUGCAAGUUUAAAAAAAGGCCUCAAUUUAUUAUUUUUUAUAAUCUCAUGGUUUUUAUGCCAUUCUCAUGAUGUUUUGGGGCCUGACUCAUGACCUUUAAAAGUUUGAAACUGGGGACCACUGCCCUCUGCACAGGGGUGAAUUUUACUCAGUGUGAUUUCCUUCUGAUUUUAUUUCCUCUGAAGAGACCUCCUGGAGCUCAUUGCAGUCAGCAGAUUGCCACCUUAUGCUAUACUGCCUCCUCUCUCUUCCCCUGUUCAUUCCCCAUGUCAAGAGUGUAAUCAACGAUAUUUACCUAGGAAGAUUUCAAGUGAAAAGUUUUAGCCGGUAUAUUAUUACAAAAGACAGCAAAAUCUAGAGCAACUUGACAAACCUAAAAAACCUGAAACUGGCUUAGAAAUUGUAUACAAAACACAUGAGUGUUAAAAGUCAUUAUAAUAAAACCCCUGAGACAAAGACAGAGAACUCCCAGACUACAAAGGACAAAUUCCAGCCUACAUGCACAAGGUGUGGAAAAAGUCACAUCCCAAGAGAUGAUGCAUAUCCAACCUGAGGCACACACUGUAAUAAAUGCAUAAAAUAUGGACAUUUUGCUGUUGUUUGCCACAUCAAGUCAGUUAAGGAGUUGAUUCAUAUUGCAGACAAUCAAGAGCCAUUUUUUCUGGGAUCUAUUACUGUUGACAUAGAGGUUUCCUGGAAAGUGAAACUGAAUAUUCAUGGCAAGAUUAUUGACUUUAAAAAUUGACUCAGUAGCUGUUGUCACAGUCAUCUCCGGUCUCCUUCAACCCCUUCCAGAGCUAAUGUCACCUGCCACAGCUCUGACUAGCCCUAGAGGCAUUCUGCACUGCCCAGGCCAGUUCACCACAGAAACAACUUACAAAGACAAAGCUAUGCAUUCAGAGUCUAUGUGAUCAAAGGACCACAGACCAACAGCCUCUUGGCCCUGUGAGUGGCAGCCAUGAUGGGCCUAAUGAGAAAGGUAGAAGAAUUUAAUAGAAUAUUUGGUGAUAUUGGACUUUUGAAAGACAAUCCAGUACAAAUAACAUUAAGAGACAAUGCAGAACCAUGUAGUGUUCAUUCACCACAUAGGAUUUCUAUCCCAUUACUUCAUACUGAGUUAAAGAGAAUGGAGCAGAUUCUCUUGAUUAUGCCAAUGUCUGAGUCAACAACAUGGGUGUGUCCCAAUGUUACCAGUUAUAAAGAAAAAUGGAAAAAAAUAUGAAUCUGUAUGAAUCUUAAAAGACUUAACAAAGCAGUUGUAAUAGAAAAAUAUUUCCCCCUACUAUUGGAUGACUUCCUCCCCAAAAGGAAAGGAGCUACAGUAUACUCCAAGCAAGAUGCCUCAAGCAGAUUCUAGAAAAUUCCUUUAGCCAAAAAAAGUGCUAAACUAACUACAUUUAUCACGCCCUUUGAGAGAUUUUGCUUUUGAACAUUAUAUUUUAUCAGUGCACCUGAAAUUUUCCAAAGAAAGAUGACAGAAUUGUUAAGGAACAGAAAUGGAGCUCUCAUUUUCAUGGAUGAUAUUCUGACAUGAAAAUUUUCAAUGGAAGAAUAACAAAACUCUCAACAGAGUCCUGAGCCUAAUCCAUCAGCUUUAGUCCAGACUAAACAAGGAAAAAUGCAUUUUCCGCCUACCCCAAAUGGAAUUUUUGGGACAGAUAAUAAAGAUGGAAUUAGUGUUAAGCCUGAGACAGUAGAAGUGUAACCCUUCUGCCAGGUGGUGCCGGCAGCAACUAGGGCCGGGUUAAAUAUCUAGGGGUUCCUUUCCAAAAAUACAACACAGAACCAUCUGAAGCCCCAAUUCUGUAACCUGGGAAAAUUACAUGCCGCCCCUCGGUGCCCCACUCGCAAGCACAGAAUCUGAGUGUAGAAAAGAAAACUUUUAAUGAAAGGAGGGAAGUCACCCAGCAUUAAUUAGGGAAAAUGCCACAAGCAGGAUUAAUAAUCAUAAAACUGUGAGCAGGACACCCAUCCCAGAGUGCAUGGGGCAGUGUUUUCUACCACAUGUUCUUGAGUUCUACAACCAAAAGUUCAUUUACUGUGCCCCUCUCUCUUCCGUCACCAUACCCUACUCACAGUGGUUGUCCUUGGUCAGUGAGGACCCAGGGUUCAGAGGUGCAUCUGUGUGAGUUCACCUCCCACCCAGGGAAGAAGACACCUACCUUGCUCCACCUGAACACUUGCUCCUUGCUGACCGCCGCUCCCCCGCCACUCCUGCUGGCUGCCCCCCGCCAGCUGCCCACUGCUGCUCGUAGCCCGCAGUAGACACUCAUGGAGUCCUGCAUUGCUCUCAACAACCUGUGAGUUUGAAGAUGAUGCAGAUGCAUAUGUGGAUGGUGGCUGCUGUGGAUACUUACAGACCAGUGUCAGAAAAGAGUCUACACCAGCUACAAAAAAGCAACCUUGACAGACAUUCAGCUUCUAAGAAACUUCUAAGAUACAUUGGGACAGCUGGACCAAGUACCUAAAGAACACUAAGGAAGCAACAAAAGACCAUUUUGUGGCAGGUGGACAAUUAAGCCAAUCAAAUGGACUCAUGAUUAAAGACAGCUGAAUUGUAAUUCCAGACAAAAUGAGAAGAGAAAUCCUAAAUCUCCUCCAUGAAGGACACUGAGGAUUAAAAGAACAGGAGUACUUGUGGCACCUUAGAGACUAACAAAUUUAUUUGAGCAUAAGCUUUCGUGAGCUACAGCUCACUUCAUCGGAUGCAUGCAGUGGAAAAUACAGUGGGGGGAUUUUAUAUACACAGAGAACAUGAAACAAUGGGUGUUACCAUACACACUGUAACAAGAGUGAUCAGGUAAGGUAAGCUAUUGGCAGAAGAGAAAAAAAUAAAUACUGUGAAUGGAUUAACCAGUCAGUGUGGUGGCCGGGCAUCAGCAAGGACAUAAAGAAUAAGCAUCUGCAUGUGAAUAUUGAAGAACCAACAGACCAACACAACACAACACAAAGAACCUUUAAUAACAAUACCUCUACCAGACAGACCUUGGAAGAGACUAACUGCAGAUUUCUGCAAAUUCAGAAGACAUCAUUAUCUGGUCAUUGGUGGACUAAUUUUCCAGGAGUCUUGUUAUAUGCUGCAGAGCUGAAAUCACUAAAGAGCUGAAGUUACUAAAAGCUGAGAUCACUGAGAGCUGUGUUAAGUGUGCGUGUGUGCGGGGAGGGGCCUGAAGACGAGUUGGUGAGCAGACAGCAGGAUGGCUAGCAUGGAGAGUGGAGCGGAUAGCUGGGUGGCUGGCAGAGAGGAGCAGACAGCAGGAUGGCUAGCGGAGAGUAGAGAGGAGUGGAGCGGAUAGCCGGGUGGCUGGUAGAGAGGAGUGGCCAGCAGGAUGGCUGGCGGAGAGGUGCAGCUGACGGUGAAGACUGCAGCAGAACCCCAUGGAGAUGCAUGGCACUCGGCCGUCGACCCGAGCAGCGGAUCAUGUAAGAUGCCACCCAUACCUCCCUCCACUUCCACCCAGGCUGGGAGGUAAACUCUGCAGAUGAACUUCUGAACUCUGCGGGACUGCACUGAUCAAGGACAGAAACUCUGUGUGUGUGGGGGGUGACUACUGGGUUGCUGGACUUAAGACCCUGAGGGGAAAAGAACACUGCCAAACUUACUUGGGGGUGGGUCUUUUGCUCAUGGUUGGUGUUAUGAAUCCUGUUUGUGGUGUUUCCCCAACAUAAUGCCGCAUUGCUUCCCUCCUUUAUUAAAAGGCUUUUGCUACA